CAACCCAAUCAUUUCUCCUCUGAACUUUCUUGGAUUGUCUCACAUGCGCUUUUGGGGGACACUUCACAUGCAAACCAUAACACCCUCCCUUCCAUUUCUGCUCUUGCUGUCCAAUCUUCCCUCUGGAUCCUGCCAUUUGGUUAUGCAGAACUGUGACCUUGUCCUUGGGAGUUACGAGGCUACUUCACACCCUUAAGACUAGGUUUCAUCUUCUACUCAAUCAUUAACCAAGGCAGUUUUUUUUUCCUUAUCAAAAAAUCCUGGGGCUAGCAGUUGUUGAUUUUCAGGAUCAGAAGAGAGUGUGGCAUAAUAGGAGAAUUACCAGGCCUAACAAUAUGAACACUAGGCACUGGAAGGUGUUUAAAGCCAAUAAUUAGAUGUGGGGAUAAAAAUAGAAAUAACAGCAUAACUAUUUUUGUUAAUAUCACCAGACUCUAGAAUCCCCAUUUUAAUGUACACAGUCAACUUAGCUCUAGAUUCUAGAGCUGAGAGUUACAUUGCCUAUCAGCCUAAGAAUUAUUCAUCAGAAAAUGGUUUAUACAUGAUUUAGAAAACUAAAGUUGCAAGAGUCCAGUCUUUACUGAAAUCAUACUCCCACCCACCCCCCAACCCUGCUACCCCUGUUCCUUACACUUGUGAGAUCUGACAAAGAGGACAGGUAUUAUAACUAUGGACUUAUAUGAAUAAGUUUAUGCUAAAUAACUAUACAAGAUUAUCCUAAAAAUAAGUUUAUUUAUCCAAUUAAAUGAAUAUUUUGGCUUGUAUUUAAAGUUGGCAGGACCCCUCCUCCACUGCUGUCAAAUUUCCCAAUCUUAUUUGACAACAUUUGCAACUGUGGUCGACCAGGUGGAAGGAAAGGCAGCCAGUUGCAUGGCACCUUCUGAGACCCCUGGCCUGCUGCAGUCUCUUGGCUUCAUGGCUGGCACACAAACCCAGACGUCUGACUCUCCCGAGGCCUCUCUUUUAACACAUACCUACAAAACUCUUCCUCAGCAGUCUUCCUGUGCCCAUAAUCACCUUUGCUCUUGUCUAACUAUUUGCGUCAUUCAGAAAAUUGGAUGGCCUACUUUUAAUUCCCACUCUCGUUUGGCUCACUUAAGUAGUUUAUACCAUCUAUGGGAAAGCUCUGAAGAAAAACUUUACCCUUGUGCACCUUCAGGAGGGAAGACCAGGAACUAAAAACCUCCCAGGAACAGAAAGAUCAGUAGAUGUAACUCAGUGAUAGAGCACUUGCUUAGCAUGCAUGAAGCUCUGAAUUUCAUCCCUUGCACCAAAACCAAAAGCAAACAAAAAUAAAAAAGGGAAAAACUUCGUAGAGAUGGCCUGAGAAAGAGAAAGCUCCAUGACUUCAUUUACUGGUUGUUUUUUUUUCUGGAAUAUUCUGGCUCAGUUCAACAAGAGUUAAGGGGGGAAUGCAUCCUGAUUUCUCUGAUUUGGAGUCUCACGUUGCUUCCAGGAGGUCAAGGGAGACACUGAGCUUUCUGUAGGGCAUAGGGCGUGGUCUUUCACCUCCAUUCCUGAGACCAGCUAUAGGACCUUGCUGGAGACAUAGUCUAUUUAUUUCCUUUGUAUUUCUCACAGCUGGAAUACACAGGGCCAGUAAGGACUCAGCCUGGAUCCUACAGGCAGCUGCCCGAGGAAGGGCCUUGGUGAAACACACUUGGAAGCCGAAGGUGAGCAUGGAGGUACCAGAGCCCAGCCUGGUACCUCCAUGCUCCCAGGAGGGAAGGUAGAUUGGAAAUCUGAGUCAUAUGUCCUCACUGUUCACCCAAGGAUUUCAUGUCCCUUUGGCUGGCAUUGCUAGUUUCUCUUUGCAAAACGAUUGAUCCUGCUGCCAAAUGUGCCCUAAGCCUUCCUCAUGCAUCAGGGAGAUGAAUGAUAAGUAACUAGAGGGCACAAAAAAAAGGCCAGCCUGUGAAUGGGGAAGUCACUUUGAGCUCGGACUAGUGCCUUGGACAUUCUGUCAAUAGACUUAGCACUGGCCUGCUGACCCAAGCAGAACUGAAAGUAAGAAAUAAGGACUAUAAAAUUGAGGUUUGCUCACCAAGUCCCAAGCUUGGCACCAGAAAUUCUUGGCUUCCUCCAAACAGCUGCAUAGAAGCAGUGGACAAACCUAUCUUGUGUCUGAUGAGUCAUUUUGCGUCAGCGGUGUGUGGCAGGGGCAUCCUAUAAGGGCUUUUCUAGAUGCUUUAUCUGGCUCGUGCUGUUUCAAAAAAAAAAAAAAAAAUUGAUAGGGGCUGGGGGUGUAGCUCAGUGGUGGAACACAUGCUUAGCACACAAAAGGAAAAGACCAGGUAGCCAAAUUCCAAAAUUCCAAAAUGAAUGGGCACUUUGAGAUGCCGUGGAAGCAAACAUUUUUUAACGUCCCCAAACUCAUAUAUGUUCCUCAUCAUUCAUUUGCUGGUCUUAAUAAGAAAGGCUGAAUAAACUGACUUUCCUUAAAUCAGAAUGAUGAAGGCUGAGAGAAUUUGGCAGCAUGAUAUUUAGGAAAGUGCAUGACAGCACAAAGUUGUUCUCUUUCCUUAUUCUGAGGCCAGGGCUUUAUACCAUAUCAGGAUUAGGCAUCAAAACAGGUUUUGAGUUUCUGAAGAAGUUUAAUCAAAUAUGAGUAGAGAAUCUAUUCCUCUAAUAUUUUAAAUAUGUUUAUGUAUAUAUGCCUACAAAGUUUUAAAAGUACAUUUUGAGUGUGUGUGUGUGUGUGUGUGUGUGUGUGCGUACACGCGUGCACACUGGGGAUUGAACCCACACUACAUAUACAUUCCAACACUGAGAUAAACAGCCACUUUUAAUUUAUUUUUAUCUUAAAUAAACUUCAAAACUCUAAUUAUCACAUGUUAUUGUCACCUUCAUUUUAUAGAUGAGAAAACAGGUUCAUGAAAAUAAGGUGAUUUGCUCAAGCAGGAUGCCACAAAUGGUUGUUUGGUCCUUGGAUAUAGAACCAAUAUUCUGCCUCCAAAUACCAUCUAAGUUUUCUCCAAACCAACACAACAAAAUUCCUGAGAUGUCUUACAUAGAAUACUUGUCUAAAAUUUUUGAAGAAACUUUCAAAUAUAUUACUUAGAUAGUCAGGUUUUACAAUGCUCAGAAAUGGAAAAUUUGAUCUAGACCUGCAUGUCCCCAACAUGACCACAAGAUGGCACAGUAACCCCGAUAAUUGAGAAAUUGGCUUCAUUCUGUGCACCAGUAGAGGGCUGCAGUUCCUUUUUUCCAAAAGGGAGAAAUGGGGUGAUGUUGUUGUUGGUGGUGGGGGUAACAAAUCCACAACAAAACACAAAAUAACAACAACAAAAACCCUUCACUGUCUACAUCGAUUAAAUAGGAUGGUGGGAGGUUGUUUUUUUCUUUUUCAGUUUAAGCAAUGAGAGUUCAAACAAACAAGUCUCCAUUUUCACCUCUGUGUUUGCUUUUGGAGGCACGAGGUCAGGACUUGGGCCAGCCGCCUAGCCUACAUUAUUCAUCUGUCCAGCUCCAGUCCUGGAACAAACGUGAAGAAAUGAAGUAGCUUCAGUCAAGGGAAAACAGUGUUGUUAUUGUUGCCGGUGACAGUUCUAUUUGCCAACAAACAUAAAAACAUACUUUGGAACCCGAACGGGCUUGUCAGAGGGAACUUUUGUUCCAUGUUUGGGCUGGGACGCUUCCAGAGAGAAAUCAGACUGGCAUUUGAACUUCAGGAGGCAGGGAGAGCACUGUGCACAGCAGCCACUGACCCGAAAGGCCAGGCCAUCAGCUGUAGUUUUCAUCUGGGUGUUGUUUGACUGCAGUCCAUGAGGCUCCUGGUUGCCAACUGGGGUCACUGCCCUGAAUGGGUAUUAUGGGGGAGGAGUGUGGGGCAUGCAAUCCAGGAUGAUGGACUCGCCACAAAAAAGGGAUAAACAGGCUUUGGAUUCUGAGCUUUUGGAAGGUGGUCCUUACUUUGGGGCUUUGGGACAGUGAAAGCGGUCCUGAUUCUGCAGGAUUUAUUUGCUGUCAGGUCUCAAUUAUCCUAAGAUUGUUGGCUGGACCUUCAGGAUCCCUUGCUAUGUGGAUUAAUUACUCUAGGGAUAAAGCCAUCCUCGCUGUAUCUGCUGGUCAGAGUUCAGGGUAUAGAAACUCAUGUUAAUACCAGUCUAAGAAAGCAUAAUUCAGAAAGCCAAUCUGCCUAUUCCUGCUACCAUUACAUAAUUCAAGUUGGAGGUCCUGUCCACAGCUGUCUGGGGGCUGCCUCCUCCCUCUGCAGACGGGAGAAGUGCACUGGAUGGAUGGACUUACAGUAAUCUAUCUAUUUGGAAAGAGAGGUGGUGAUAAAUUACUACCAUGGUGAAUAUCAUUAAAAUGCAGUAGAACCAAAAGCACUUUGAAUCUUAAUUCCUGGCUCCUCACAUCAUCAUUCUGCAAGGGUAUGCAGGAUAUCACUGAACAUUUUAAUUUUACAUUGAGCUCUAAAGUUGGAAAGGCAUCUUAGAGAUUAUCGGGUCCAAAAUGUCUGUGUCUAAGAUGGCAAAUUCCCCCUAGGAGGAGUCGGAGAUGCUCAGUGAAUGGAUCAGCCCCUUGUUUUGUAAAUAAAGUUAACAGAUCUGGGAAAUGAAGUGAUUGCCCCAAUUAUAUACCUAAUUGGUGGCAGAUCAGGGACAAGACACAGCCAUCUAAAUCUCCCGAUUAGUGCUGCUUCUAUUCCAUUUUGCUGUCUUGAAUCUUAAAAACCCUCAGCUUAAUUUAUUUAUUUGCUUUAUUUGUUUAUUUACUUUUUGUAGUACUGAGGAUUGGGCCCAGAGCCUUGUGCAUGCUAGGCAGGCUCUCUAACAUUAAUCUAUGUCCCUGGCCCCAUUUAUCUUCUUUAAAAAAGCAAAUUUUAAUGCAGUUUGAUUCAAGACUACACAGUCGUAAGACAGAGGCAGUUCAAAAAGAGGCCUCUCGUUUUUCCAACCUUCGGAUUCAUUUGGGUCUCAAUUCCAACUACUGGGCCUUAUAAACCUUAACUGACCUUAGAGCUAAAAAUGUUCAUUUCUAGCAUCCAGCCUCAGAUUUGUGGGCAUUUAUGAGAGAGGCAUAGGAGAGAGCAAAGAUUGGCAGACUUUUUCUAGGGAAGGGCUAGAUAGUAUUUGGGGCUUUGAGAGUCAUAGAGUCUCUGUCAUGAGUACUCCGCUUCAAGGUUCUAACACAAAAACAGUCGUAGAGAACACAUAGACAAAGGAGCAUGGCUGUGCUUUUUCUAAGGAAAUAACUUUUCUUAGGAAAACAGGCAGGAAGGGGAAUGGAUUUGGCCCUCAGGCCAAAGUUUGCUGACUUCUGAAAUAAAGGACUUGGACUUUGACUUACUGUUCUUCCGCAUAUGCCUGGUCUAAGCAAAGGGAUCUUAUUCAUCUUUUAGACUGCACUGUACUGACAUUCCCAGUCAGUGGUAUCCACCCACCUUACUAAGUGGAAUUCUUAAAUCUUUUUUUUUUUUUUCAGUCAGAGACUUGACAAUCCUAAUAAGGAGAUUUAUUUGUGUGGUGCUCUUGUGUUUACAUAUUAUACAAUUUGAGCUUGUGAGAUAGUGUCGUAGUCAGCUUGGACUGCUAUAACAGAACACCACAGACGGGGUGGCUUAAAUGACAGAGCUUUCUUUCUCACCAUUCUCUGGAGUCUGGGAAGCCCAAGAUCGAGGUGUGGCAGAUCCAGGGACUGGAGAGAGCAUUCUUCCUGGUUUGUUCUUCUCAUUCUCUAUCACUGCUGAUGGGCUUCCUGUAUGUGCCAAGGAGUCCCAGACUACACCAUCCCAGUUUGGUAACCUCAGGGGAAAAGAGAGCCUGCUCCCACCUGUUGCCAAUCCAGAUCUCAUUUCUAGAUUUUAUGAACUCUGAGUUUAUGUUGGAUUGUCCAGCUGAACUUGGCUUGUGGCUAGCAGGAAGGAUCAUUCUGACUUGAGAAGGGUAAGAUGAGGACACACCUAAAUGAAAAUUGGCCUUACAUGAAAAGUUGAGAGUUCAAUUUGGAGACUGUUUCUUGGGUGCAUAUACUGCAGAGGUUUGACUGAAAAGCUGCUUCAAGUUCUUUUUAUAGCUUUGUUGUUCACACAUGAGAAAGUGAUUUCAUUGAUUGGCCUUUUUACACUUAACUAUUGUGUUGUGGUUGUUUUUCUGUUUCUCUCUUCAAUUCCACAUGUGAAUGGGUGAGUUCCACUCCCCACCAUCCGAGCGUGGGUGCUCUGGGGCUUCUCAGUUCAACUGUCCUCCCUCCUUCUCCCAUGAACAAAUGUGAGAAGCUGCUUAAAGAAUUAUCCAGCUCCUUUCUUGCCACUCGGUGAGAUACCCAGGAAUCUCCUUUGGUCUCAGUGCUGGUCUGUCAUGUUGCACAGUGAGAAUUCCAUGGUUUGGGGUAGUGGUAAAGGACAUAGGUUCUAGAACAAGAUUACCUGGACUGAAAACCUGCUCCCACCACUGAAUGCUGGUUUCUCUUUGCUUUUUUUCUUUGCUUUUUUCUCUUAGCCACUUGUGCUUUUUCCUUUAAUAUGACAAAAUACUUGAGAUAAUCAACUUAAAAGGAGAAAAGGCUUAUUUGGCUCACAAUUUCAGAGGCUUCAGUCCAUGGUCACUUGGCUCUGUUGAUUUCAGAAUUGUAGAAAGACAGCACAUCAUGGUGGGAACACAUGGCAGGAGAAGCUGGUCACCUCAUGGUGUCCAGGAAGCAAAAAGAGAGACUCAAGAAUUAGGAUUCUAACAUCCCUUUCAAGGGCAUGGCCCCAGUGACCUAGCUUCCUCCAGUAGCCUCACCUCCGAGACAUUCCACCACCUCCUAAUAAUGUCAAGCUGGGGACCAAGCCUUUAAUACAGAGCUUUCGAGGGACAUUAAAUAUUCAAGUGAUAGCACCAUUCUCUCAUAUUUACUCUUUUGAAAAGAUAUUUUCACUUGUCAUGGAAAAGAUUGUCCCUCCUCAUUAUGAAUGAAUCCCUUCCUUAUAUAAUAAGGAAAAAUAGCAACUACAAAUUGAGGGUGAAUGUUAAUAUUUAAGAUGACCAUUUGUAUCCCGCUAGUUGUUCCUAGCUACCUGGUUAACUUGGACUUGGCAGCAGGAACUCAACCUUCAUCUCCCUCUCUUUUUAUAGACAUGUUUUCUCUUGCCUGUGGAUUUUGUGUAUUGAGAAUAAAAAAAACCACUGUAUCCCCAUUUCAAGAUAGAAAAACGACUGCUUAUAUAGAGGAGCAUUUUGAUAAGAUCUGGAGGUCAUAACGAGAUACAAGCCAAACACAAUUUGAUUUUGAAAAGCUCUUACUUAAAAAGUAGCCCAUCACUUAUAAAUCCUACUGCAGGAGUUUAUGUCAUACUGUGCAGUCAUCCAUAAAUUUAAAAUAAUACCACCAACUACAAGCAAGUCAUGGGCUUUGAAUUACUUGUGAAAUAGUGUUUGUAGAUGCCAGCACUGACUUUAAAAUAGGUGAAUUUUGAGCCUUAAACCCUAGCCUAUUAACAUUUUUCAGAACUCUACUGAGAAGAAAGCUCAUGGUGUACUGGGCAGAAAGUUCCCCAAAGAGGAGAAAGACAAGCAAUGCCAGUGCACAAUUCUGGAUAAUUCUUUAAGCAGCUCCAUGGAGUAUGAAUUUUUUUUUUUAAUUUGUGGCUUAGCAGAGAAAAG